rnacentral:rRNA from 1 species
GCUGGCGGCGUGCCUAAUGCAUGCAAGCCGAACGGCCCGAUUUAUCGGGCAGUGGCGAACGGGUGAGUAACACGUAAGAACCAACCCUCAAGUGGGGGAUAACCCCGAGAAAUCGGGGCUAAUACCGCAUAAGCUCCCCGAUUAUAUCGGGGAGGAAAGCUAAGGCGCUUGGGGACGGGCUUGCGUCCGAUUAGCUAGUUGGUGAGGUAAUGGCUCACCAAGGCUGAGAUCGGUAGCUGGUCUUAGAGGAUGAUCAGCCACACUGGGACUGAGAUACGGCCCAGACUCCUACGGGAGGCAGCAGCAGGGGAUAUUGCGCAAUGGGUGAAAGCCUGACGCAGCAACGCCGCGUGGGGGAAGAAGGUUUUCGGAUCGUAAACCCCUUUUCCCGGGGAAGAUUAUGACGGUACCCGGGGAAUAAGUCUCGGCUAACUACGUGCCAGCAGCCGCGGUAAGACGUAGGAGGCGAGCGUUAUCCGGAAUUAUUGGGCGUAAAGGGCGUGUAGGCGGCUCUUCAAGUCUGUGGUGAAAUCUCCCGGCUCAACUGGGAGGGUGCCAGAGAAACUGGAGGGCUUGAGGGCAGUAGAGGGGGGUGGAAUUCCCGGUGUAGUGGUGAUAUGCGUAGAUAUCGGGAGGAACGCCAGUGGCGAAGGCGGCCCCCUGGGCUGUUCCUGACGCUGAAGCGCGAAAGCGUGGGGAGCAAACAGGAUUAGAUACCCUGGUAGUCCACGCCGCAAACGAUGGACACUAUGUAUGGGGGGUAUCGACCCCUUCCGUGCCGAAGCUUACGCCAUAAGUGUCCCGCCUGGGGAUUACGGCCGCAAGGCUAAAACUCAAAGGAANUUGA